rnacentral:rRNA from 1 species
AUUGAACGCUGGCGGCAUGCUUUACACAUGCAAGUCGAACGGCAGCGCGGGCUUCGGCCUGGCGGCGAGUGGCGAGCGGGUGAGUAAUACAUCGGAACGUGCCCAGUCGUGGGGGAUAGCUCGGCGACAGCCGGAUUAAUCCCGCAUACGACCUGAUGGUGAAAGCGGGGGAUCUUCGGACCUCGCGCUAUUGGAGCGGCCGAUGGCAGAUUAGCUAGUUGGUAGGGUAAAGGCCUACCAAGGCGACGAUCUGUAGCUGGUCUGAGAGGACGACCAGCCACACUGGGACUGAGACACGGCCCAGACUCCUACGGGAGGCAGCAGUGGGGAAUUUUGGACAAUGGGCGAAAGCCUGAUCCAGCAACGCCGCGUGUGUGAUGAAGGCCUUCGGGUUGUAAAGCACUUUUGGCGGGAACGAAAAGGACUGUGCCAAUACCACGGUUCGAUGACGGUACCCGCAGAAUAAGCACCGGCUAACUACGUG